CACGUAGGGCGCAAGCGUUGUUCGGAUUUACUGGGCGUAAAGGGCGCGUAGGCGGUCGUGACAAGUCCCUUGUGAAAUCUCCGGGCUUAACUCGGAACGGUCAAGUGAUACUGUCGGACUAGAGUACAGAAGGGGCAACUGGAAUUCUCGGUGUAGCGGUGAAAUGCGUAGAUAUCGAGAGGAACACCUGCGGCGAAGGCGGGUUGCUGGGCUGAUACUGACGCUGAUGCGCGAAAGCCAGGGGAGCGAACGGG
rnacentral:rRNA from 1 species